UCACAUUAUUUCUUAUUUCUGGUGCAGUAGCCAAUUCAAAUAGUUGAACCAUCUCCUUCUCUGAAACAUGCUUCAAUUCUAUUUCCUUUACGUAAUACCUUAAAUAUUUUGUAAUAUCCUUCCCUUCAAAUUGAUCAAUCUUGUCUACAACAUCUUGUAAUGCUUUGUCUGUCAUGCCCUCUUUGCGAUCCUUAACCUGUUGUUAUUGGAUGAAUAAGGCCAAUGCCUCAAACAUGCUUGCAGAGUUGGGAUCAAAAUACAUACCUUGUCUUUCAAUUGAAGCUCCACUUCCAACUCCACUUGAAGCACCACCAAAAGCUCCUCCUUCCAUUCUCUUGCCUUCCUUCUUCAUAACCCAAAUAGAUCAAAGAAACUCCAAAUACCUCCCACCUCAAGUUUUUUACGUCAGAUUCACCAAAUAUGUCAUAUUAUGUGAAGUCUUGCUUGAGAAUGCACCGAGCACCUAUCUGUGGAAGGUAAAAGAAAAUUGCAAAAAAAGUCCUAACAAUCCAAUAAGAUUAUAGAGAAUUUAUAAUUAAAUAUUAACAAUCAUAAUCAAACAUUAAGCAAGCUCAAUUAAAUUUUAUUGAAGUUAUAAAAGAAACACAAGAAAAUCCUAAAGUAAUAUAAAAGAAUAUUAAAGAAAACUUAGUCAAACCCUAACAAAAAUCUAAUAAAAUCUUAAAUUCUAAACCAAAUCCUAAACCAUAUCCUAACCCUAACAAAUCCUAAAUCCUAAACCAAAUCCUAAUCAAAUCCUAA
rnacentral:lncRNA from 1 species